rnacentral:lncRNA from 1 species
CUAGAGCUCCACCUCAUACUAGGCUCCCCAUGGCUUUUGAAUCUCCACCUCGCAUUGAGCUCCCUAUCGAUAAUAAUAUCCUCCCAUCCUCUUCUUUCCCUCCAAUAUCACCCUAUCACCAUGCAUAACCUUUAAAAUUUCGUUACCAGCUACCCAUCAGUAACCGUUUGAAUUCAGUCUAUUCAGUGAGAUAAGAUUCUACCUAAAAUUGGGUAUAUAUCGAACCUACCCC